CCCUUGGAAGGCAAAGAACCAUUUUUAUUAAAAUGGUUCUAUAAUUCACGUUUUGUGACUGAAGUGUAAACUAAAGAUUACACAAUAAUUGCAGACCUACACAACUAAUUUACAAACCUACACAACUCAUUCACAAACCUUUUUGUGUCAAUAGGCUGUGGUCAAAUAAAGAGAGAGUCAACAAAUAGGCUAUUAAUAUUUAGUGUAUGAUUUAUUUCCUGUGAGCUUUUUUAUGCAAGUUUGUACAUUAGCAUGAAACUUACAGUGCAGUUUGCGUUUUUGGUGAAUUACCAGGUGUUUUCUUUAUUUUGUACAUUCUAAAUUGUCAAUGUUUGUUUAAUUUAACCUGAAGGGGCAUUAAAAACAAAUAAUCGCAAAAGUGCCCUCUGGUGGCGUAUAUAUGCGUUGCACCAUAAGCGAAGAUGAGCCUCGUGACGUGACAGUUUUUUUCAAACUGAGGUGAGGAGUUCGGACUCCAGACCGGCAUUUGUUUGUACCCUGAGGGUUGGAGCUAAAUUCGGAAGGAAAGUGGAAACUGCUGGCCAAAGUUGAGAACAUUCCGCCGGUCUGUAUUAUAAAUGCACGAUUGCAGUGCAGCGUUCGUAUCCGCAACAAAUAACCAUGGUUAAUAAAUGGUCAGACACGUCACUGGCUUUAAAAUAUAAACCCCAUUGAUGCAAAAAGAUGCUGCAUGGAAUGACAAUGAGGUUUGGAACAGACUUGGUGAAGAACAUGGAAACAUCUCUAAAUAAAAUGGCCCCAAACAUCAUCAGGAGUGCAAAAGAAGGAAGUAAAAAACAUCUCUACGCCAAUCUCAUUGGAGAGGAAACCACAGAAGGUCUGGUGAGGAAUGCUGCACUUAUGUUAUUGCCAGCAUUAUUUCAAGAAAAUCCCAGCUUCCUUGACUGUGUAAAUAGUGAACCCAAAGGUCCCACAACAACCAUAGUGUUCAACGGCUCUCCUGAUCUUCUCAAAUCUGAAAGUAUCAACUUUAUAAUGGACAAUGUGAACUUAAUAUGUGGAAGACAUUGACAUCACAGGCUGUGGAAUGACUGUGUCACAGGUCGGAGAAGCGGACCGCCCCUGUCACGGAUCACGCUCCUCCUAGUUCCACCUCGAGGAGGUCCCAAAGCACCCCAAUGAACAGACAAACCAGAGAUAAGUAAAAUAUAAAAAUAGAAACUUUAUUUAAAUUAUUUAAAACUAAAGUGGGGAAUGGGAAUCUAAAAAUCUCGCUUCUCGCCCUCAGGGGGAGUAUUACGGGGCCAGGGACGUUGGAGGGGUUUCCACGUGACUCCAGCUGGAACACCACUAGAGAGCGUAUCUGGGUGGGUUGGGCACACACCGUCGCGGCGGCCCCUGAUGGCAUCCACAAAGGUCCAAGACCCUCCUAAGCUCCCAGCCGUAGCAGAACUACGUAUUUCAGCACCCGAACGACUAACAACCCAGCCGGCAUCUGCAGCGUAUAUCCAACGCGAUCAAACUUCACUCUGACAAGUAACUUCCUAUACACAACCACGCCGUCCUUUCGCCCGGACCAGCCCCGCACUCUUUCCGCCCGCUACCUAGCGGUCACCGGAUCAGCAGAGCCUGCGGACUCUUCGGACUCUGCGACCCUUACAGUAACUUCUACCUUCUCUCUUUAUAUCCUCCUCCAUGGCGUGGCUCGCCCAACCAUCGCUCGCCAUGUCACUCACACAGCUGUGCCUUGUUUCAGUAAGUGCGGGGAUUCCCGGGGAACCCGGAAGUGCCGGUGUCUGUACAAACCGGUCCGGGCGGAACCUCUUCACUCUCCUUUUGGUUCCGCCCCGCAUAGUCACUCCGUGACAACUGUUUGCGUUUUUUUUCUCCUCAAUGUUCAAUACCCUUUUGCCAUUAAGCACACAGUGACAUUAAUUUAUAAAAUUUAUGCUUAAGUUUUAAUACCUGUACAAAACAAAUGUACAAUCAACUUGUGUAAAUUGUCAUUCUAUUUAAUAGAUUGUUCAUGAAUUGUCUUUAAAUGCAUUGUGAUUUCGGUAACACUUUACAAUAAGGUUCAUUAGUUAACAUUAGUUAAUGUAUUAACUAACUUGAACAAACCACGAGCAAUACAUUUGUUACAGUAUUUAUUCAUCUUUGUUAAUGUUAGUUAAUAAAAAUUUAAGCUUUAAUUGCUUGUUCAUGUUAGUUCAGAGUGCAUUAACUAAUGUUAACAAGAUUUUAAUAAAGUAUAAGUAAUUGUUGAAAUUAACAUUAACAAAGAUUAAUAAAGGCUGUAUAAGUGCAGUUCAUUAUUAGUUCAUGUUAACUAAUGUAGCUAACUAAUGUUAACCAAUGAACCUUAUUGUAAAGUGUUACCGUGAUUUCUUUUCAUCAUUUCAGACACAUGUAAAAGUUACUAAAACUUAGUACUGCAUAUACUGUACAGUAUCUAUGCGUAAGGGAAAUAACUUGAACAAAAUUUUUUAUGUAUAGUGUAAUUAAUAGUUUAGCUGUUUAAUACAGAGAUGCAAUAUAUAUAUAUAUGUAUAUGUAUGUUUAUUAAAAAGUGAAAAUGCUUAAUGGAAAUAAUUAAAUAACUAAAUGGUUGAAUGUAAUGAGACAUUUUAAAUGUAAACCAAAGUUUUGCUGUCUAAUACAGAAUAAAGAGAUGUGAUUUUAAGUAAUUUUUAUAGAUUUAUAUUUCUGUAUAAUACAAUUAAUAAAUAGUAAACUUUUAUAAUUUUC